rnacentral:rRNA from 1 species
CAGCCGCCGCGGGAAUACGUAGGUGGCAAGCGUUGUCCGGAAUUAUUGGGCGUAAAGGGCUCGCAGGCGGUUUCUUAAGUCUGAUGUGAAAGCCCCCGGCUCAACCGGGGAGGGUCAUUGGGAACUGGGAAACUUGAGUGCAGAAGAGGAGAGUGGAAUUCCACGUGUAGCGGUGAAAUGCGCAGAGAUGUGGAGGAACACCAGUGGCGAAGGCGACUCUCUGGUCUGUAACUGACGCCGAGGAGCGAAAGCGUGGGGAGCGAACAGGAUUAGAUACCCGCGUAGUCCCUGUCUCUUAUAC